rnacentral:hammerhead_ribozyme from 1 species
AUCCAGAUGACGAGUCCCAAAUAAGACGAAAUGUGCAUCAUGGAU